UCAGCCCACACACUUCUGGGAUGGGGGAGGAGCGGGCUGCCAGCAAAGAAACUGCGACUUGCAGGCGGGAUUAAAACGCGNAGGUUCUAAUAAUCUCCUCCGUCUUCAGAUUAAGUAAGGGUCGUGUGGCUGAGACACACAGCCAGCAGCAGCCGAGAGCAGGGUGGCUGCGCGAGGCAAACGGCGAGGCCGAUACGGAUCCACGGCGAGGAGUCGCUCCCGAAGGCAAAGUGCAAAGCCUGUGCGGGAAUGCAGGCACAGGCGGCAGCAUGGAGGGAAGGAAAGAUCGCCAGCCGCCGGAGCGGGAGGAAAGGAAGAGGUGUCCGAGGGGGUGGAGGGAGAAGGCGGGAGGGAGGGAGCAAGCAGCGAUCCGGUGGCAAGCGAUGGAGAAGAUGAGACGCCCCCGGAGGAGCCCGUUGGGAGCCGGGAGAGUUUCAGAAGCCGGUUCGUUUCUAUCCCUGAGCUUGCUUUCCCCAGCCAGAUACAGAAAGCAAAGCGGGAACGAACUUUGCACAGUUUAUACAGGAAGAAGAAGAGGAACCAGGUCCGCCCUCCUGGAGUUCUCGACUUGACCUUGUGAUGCACAAACAAUACAGACUCCAAUCCGUUGCUGGAAGGCUGUUUGUUGCUGUUGCUCUUGCCUGUCUGUUUUCCGUGGUGGCAGCAGCCGCCGCGCCUUGAGCUCCUUCAACCUCCAGCUGGCCACACCCACCGUUGCCUGCCUGCUCGAGGCGGCCGCGGCGGCAGCACCUACUACUUCGUUCGCACAGAAGAACAGUUAUUAUUCAGCGACGGAAGAAGCGGCUGGCGCUACCUGAUCGGCUCUCUCUGUCGCUCAAGGCCACGGGUGUCGCCGUCGACCGCCCGCCCGCCCGCCCGCCAUCCUAAAACCAGCGCCACCACCCUUCAUUCUGUAUUCCCCUUCUGCAGAGUCGUCCACGUCAGAAGUGCCUAAUAGGAAUGCCGUCCGUUUUCAGAAACAGGACUUUCCCAGAAGCCGCUGAUCAAAGUGACUCUCAAAAUUUGCCAGCAUUUUAAAAAACAUACCGGGGGCACUCGCUCGUGCAAUAAAUGGGCAAACCCUAUGCUGAUGGAAUGUUCA
rnacentral:lncRNA from 1 species